GACGAACGCUGGCGGCGUGCCUAAUACAUGCAAGUCGAGCGGACCACUUCGGUGGUGAGCGGCGAACGGGUGAGUAACACGUAGGUGAUCUGCCCAUCAGACGGGGACAACGAUUGGAAACGAUCGCUAAUACCGGAUAGGACGAAAGUUUAAAGGUGCUUCUAACACCGCUGAUGGAUGAGCCUGCGGCGCAUUAGCUAGUUGGUAGGGUAAAGGCCUACCAAGGCGACGAUGCGUAGCCGACCUGAGAGGGUGAACGGCCACACUGGGACCGAGACACGGCCCAGACUCCUACGGGAGGCAGCAGUAGGGAAUCUUCGGCAAUGGGCGGAAGCCUGACCGGGCAACGCCGCGUGAAUGAUGAAGGCCUUCGGGUUGUAAAAUUCUGUUAUAAGGGAAGAACGACUUUAGUAGGAAAUGGCUAGAGUGUGACGGUACCUUAUGAGAAAGCCACGGCUAACUACGUGCCAGCAGCCGCGGUAA
rnacentral:rRNA from 1 species